UACGUAGGGGGCAAGCGUUGUCCGGAUUUAUUGGGCGUAAAGAGCGUGUAGGCGGCCAGGUAGGUCCGUUGUGAAAACUCGAGGCUCAACCUCGAGCUGUCGGUGGAAACCACAUGGCUAGAGUCCGGAAGAGGAGAGUGGAAUUCCUGGUGUAGCGGUGAAAUGCGCAGAUAUCAGGAAGAACACCCGUGGCGAAGGCGGCUCUCUGGGACGGUACUGACGCUGAGACGCGAAAGCGUGGGGAGCGAACAGG
rnacentral:rRNA from 1 species